CUCAAAGGAACCAAGCUCACGAGGGGCCCCUCAGCUUCCUGACGGAGAAAGAUAUGGGGGAAGAGGAGAUGGAGGGCCCUUCUAAUUAUAAUGAGUGAAGAUUUUGUCAAUCCAGAAGGGCACCAUCAGAAGAGGCUGAGUGAUGAGCUGUAUGGACUUUACAUAACCUCUCAAUUGGUCCCCUGCUUAUCUACUCAAGAAGUGUGCCAACAAAAAGAUGUUUCUUCUGCAUCUCUGAUCCUUCGUUGUUUCACCUGCAAAAUAGUGUUUGGCUGCUGGAAGCAUCCACAAAAGGCAAGCCAAUCAGCUCCCUGCUCUCUUGAAACUUGUGUUCCAGCAGAGCAAGACCCACACUACCAGAAGAGCCCAAUGUAUGAAGAGGACAACCUUAAGAAGUAAGAGUCCUAUUUCCUGGUGAAGCGGAUGGGGGAGAGGUGAUCUGGGUGACAGAAGAAGCAACUCGAGUUAGAGGAGAGAAAAAAGUCACACGUGUAAAUACUGAAUAGUUUCCCUGGUGUGAAUAAUCUGCAAUAAAACAUAAGAUCCUAAUAAGAUUACUGUCAUUUAGAAAUGAGAAGAAAGGAGCUAAAGGUGUAGGGAAGGUGGGAUGGGUAGGGGAAGGGUAAUA
rnacentral:lncRNA from 1 species